UUAUAACCCCUCUCUCCACCGUUCCCGCUUUCUCUCCCCACUUCACAGUCGGCUUUCCUCAACAAACUCCGUUCCGUUUCUCCUAAUUCCUCUCUCUUCGCCACCGUUCUCCUCUGAAUUAUGUCAUCGUCGUUGCUCGAUCGCUUCGAAUUUGGAUUCGUUUCUCUCUGAAUCGCCGUGAAAGGAGGAUUUGAUCUGUUCUAGCUUCGGAGGAAUCUGUGAGGUGAGGAAGAGUAGUGCGUGCGGCAUUCGGAGAGGGAAUUUCGUUCCGGAAUCUUUUUGAAAAAAGAUUUGGUAGUUACGGCAGUGAGAAUAAUAUCUUGAAUUCGGAUCGGUGUAUUGUGGUUAUUAAUGAUGGCGUCGUCUCUGAUUCUGAAUCCUGCGGCGAGUUCUGAGCGAUCGCGUGAUUCGUCCAGAAAGAAAAAGAAAAAGAAA